UCUCCCCUUCUGGGGUUGGAGGAGGACAGAUCACUCAGGACAGAACACCCCCCUCUUCCAUCUGCCCAGGGCUGGCUAGGAGCUCAGAAGUCAGCACCAAACAGAGCUCUACCACUUUCUGGGUCCCUCAGAGUAUCCUACCAGAGGUGCUGGGAGACAAGACUGCUGCUGGGUUCAGCACCUAUGGCUCGGACACGGCACAGCACCCGUAUGACGUUCCCAUCCACCACUCCGGUGGCCUGGCACAGAGGAGUCCGGGAGUCAGCCUGGUCUGGGAGGAAGAGUCGAUGAAGACAGCGUAACACGAAAGCCUGCGUUCCCGCCGGGUCGCACGGGAAGAAGGAAUUACCUCCCGCGUGAUUUCCCGCGCCAAGCUCACCGACGAACUCCAGGGGGCGUGGCCCCAGCCAAUUUUGG